GAUGAACGCUGGCGGCGUGCCUAACACAUGCAAGUCGAGCGAUUCUCUUCGGAGAAGAGCGGCGGACGGGUGAGUAACGCGUGGGUAACCUGCCCUGUACACACGGAUAACAUACCGAAAGGUAUGCUAAUACGAGAUAAUAUGCUUUUAUCGCAUGGUAGAAGUAUCAAAGCUCCGGCGGUACAGGAUGGACCCGCGUCUGAUUAGCUAGUUGGUAAGGUAACGGCUUACCAAGGUGACGAUCAGUAGCCGACCUGAGAGGGUGAUCGGCCACAUUGGAACUGAGACACGGUCCAAACUCCUACGGGAGGCAGCAGUGGGGAAUAUUGCACAAUGGGCGAAAGCCUGAUGCAGCAACGCCGCGUGAGCGAUGAAGGCCUUCGGGUCGUAAAGCUCUGUCCUCAAGGAAGAUA
rnacentral:rRNA from 1 species